AGAGUUUGAUCCUGGCUCAGAACGAACGCUGGCGGCAGGCUUAACACAUGCAAGUCGAGCGCCCCGCAAGGGGAGCGGCAGACGGGUGAGUAACGCGUGGGAACGUACCUUUUGCUACGGAAUAACUCAGGGAAACUUGUGCUAAUACCGUAUGUGCCCUUCGGGGGAAAGAUUUAUCGGCAAAGGAUCGGCCCGCGUUGGAUUAGCUAGUUGGUGAGGUAAAGGCUCACCAAGGCGACGAUCCAUAGCUGGUCUGAGAGGAUGAUCAGCCACACUGGGACUGAGACACGGCCCAGACUCCUACGGGAGGCAGCAGUGGGGAAUAUUGGACAAUGGGCGCAAGCCUGAUCCAGCCAUGCCGCGUGAGUGAUGAAGGCCCUAGGGUUGUAAAGCUCUUUCACCGGUGAAGAUAAUGACGGUAACCGGAGAAGAAGCCCCGGCUAACUUCGUGCCAGCAGCCGCGGUAAUACGAAGGGGGCUAGCGUUGUUCGGAUUUACUGGGCGUAAAGCGCGCGCAGGCGGUCUCUUAAGUCAGGGGUGAAAUCCCGGGGCUCAACCCCGGAACUGCCUUUGAUACUGGAAGUCUUGAGUAUGGUAGAGGUGAGUGGAAUUCCGAGUGUANAGGUGAAAUUCGUAGAUAUUCGGAGGAACACCAGUGGCGAAGGCGGCUCANUGNACCAUUACUGACGCUNANGUGCNNNNGCG
rnacentral:rRNA from 1 species